rnacentral:rRNA from 1 species
AACGAACGCUGGCGGCAUGCCUAACACAUGCAAGUCGAACGAAGCCUUCGGGCUUAGUGGCGCACGGGUGCGUAACGCGUGGGAAUCUGCCCCUUGCUUCGGAAUAACAGUUAGAAAUGACUGCUAAUACCGGAUGAAGUCUUCGGACCAAAGAUUUAUCGGCAAGGGUUGAGCCCGCGUAGGAUUAGGUAGUUGGUGGGGUAAAGGCCUACCAAGCCGACGAUCCUUAGCUGGUCUGAGAGGAUGAUCAGCCACACUGGGACUGAGACACGGCCCAGACUCCUACGGGAGGCAGCAGUGGGGAAUAUUGGACAAUGGACGCAAGUCUGAUCCAGCAAUGCCGCGUGAGUGAUGAAGGCCUUAGGGUUGUAAAGCUCUUUUAACAGGGAUGAUAAUGACAGUACCUGGCGAAUAAGCUCCGGCUAACUCCGUG